UUCUAAAGAUGCCAUCCAGUCACAAUAGCCAUCAACAUCAAGUUUGCAUCAAAGUCUUGCACUUGAACUUGGAUGCUUCGAUCAGUAUUCUCCAAAGCACGGGUCAAGCGUUCUAUGAACCAUUGAUCAGCAACACCUGGUUCUGGAACAGAACUGAAAGAAGAAGAACGGUCAUUUUGGCUGUGGUUGUUGAAGAAGACAUUGUGUUCACUUUCUUGACUUCUAUGGCUUCGAGUGGAUGAAGCUUGAAUCCGCUGAUAGAGUUUAUUUACCAUGUCUGUCAGUGCUUGAUUCGAUUCUCAUAAUGCAAUAAGUUCAGCUUGCACUUCAUCACACUCCGUAUCCCUUUGACGUCAUAGAGGAUUCCUUUGACGCCGUGGAGGCAUUGUAGAGGACCCGAAGAUAUGAAGAAGAUCGAACAAUUUUGAGAUAAAGGACACCAUAGCAGGAAAAUCUGCUCUGAUACCAAUUUGAUGCAUGCUGAAACCUGCAAGUCUUGGCCAAACCAAAAGAAUUCAACCAAGGAAAAGAUAAUCCUGGGAUGCCACUUAACCAGGGGUAGUGGAGGCCACUCGGCGCUACUAAUCGCAGAUGCCACUCGAUGCGACCAAGCCACAUGCUUGAUUGGGAGGAGGAUGCCACUCAGCUCACAAAAGCAAGAAAGGCUUGCUGGAAAGGAAUUUUGAAAAUAACAACUGUUCUUCUCAUUUUAUUCAUGUACCAGCUUUAUAUGCUAUCUUGGAACAUCCCUCCAAGCAUAGGUAAGAAAAAACAGUGCUAAAAUACAUUGAUGGGAGUCUAGUUACAAGUUCCAAUAUUUAGAAAUACCAAAAGACACUUAGAAAAAUAAAACUAUAUGCUGGAAAAAGACCAACUUAAAUGCACUUCGCUGGGCGCUGCUAGUCCAGACGUGCAAUAGUAAAAAUGCCAUAACUUUCUCUAGGGAUCUUCAAAUGGCACGAGAUCAAGUGCGUUGGAAACUACAGGAGUAGAGCUUUUUUUUUUUGCUAAAGAGGAGUAGAGCUUUCCAAUGGUAUAUGGAAUGCUAGCUGAUUAACCAUAUAUUGUUUCCAGAAUUAAUUCAAAGCCAACUCUGUCAUACUGCUAGGAUUAAAAAAUGACUCACUAAACACAUGAGUCGACUCUUGAAAGCAAUGAGUCGACCCCCGUUACACAUGAGUCGACUCUUGAAAGCAAAGAGUCGACCCCUGCUACACAUGAGUCGACUCUUGAAAGCAAAGAGUCGACCCCUGCUACUCCUACAUCAACUCUUAUGACGGAUUUUCAUGCUCUUAACAAGCGCUUGCUCUUGAUGGAGGAUCAUCUGCAAGAGGCAAAAAGGAUAUCAAACCUCCUAGUGCGAGAUGCAUUUAAUAGAUCGGUAUCACCUGCUGAUUUACGCUAUCAAAUCUUGCUCGACCUUGGUCCAGAGUAUGAACAUCUUGUCUCUACACUCCUUACCAUAGGAAUUGCUGCUAGUUUUGAAGAACUAUAUGGUAUUCUUUUCCAACAUGAUAUCCGACUGAGAUU
rnacentral:lncRNA from 1 species